rnacentral:sRNA from 1 species
GUUCCAUUCUGGUACAUUUGCUUCGUUCUAUUCUAAGCUAAAACACAUUCCCAUGAAGCGAUCUGGGAGGUUGGUGUUUCGGCAAUCUCGUUAAGAAUCACACAAGGAUAACAACGACCACAGCCACAGCGUUUAAACCCAAAGGAGAGAUAUCGAAAUCACCUGAAAGUAAUUGUGCUACGAGUAGCAAGGGGGAGAAUUAUACGCACAUGAGUGGAGACACCAAUGCUCAAUGAGGAAUACACAGAGAAAAAUUGAAAGAAAACGAGUGCAAUGUAAAACUGGUUGGGGUUUGUAUGUUCACCACCGUCAAUGUUUUUAAUAAAAUUUUUUCGAAAUUUGA